rnacentral:rRNA from 1 species
UACGGAGGGUGCAAGCGUUGCUCGGAAUUAUUGGGCGUAAAGGGUAGGUAGGUGGUCUUAUUUGUCUGGGGUGAAAGCCUUGAGCUUAACUCAAGAAGUGCCCCAGAAACGGUGAGACUAGAGUCCUGGAGAGGGUCGUGGAAUUCCCGGUGUAGCGGUGAAAUUCGUAGAUAUUGGGAAGAACACCGGUGGCGAAGGCGGCUCUCUGGACCGAUACUGACGCUGAGGCGCGAAAGCGUGGGGAGCAAACAGG